rnacentral:tRNA from 1 species
GCGGAUUUAGUUUAACCGGGAAAACGGCGGUCUCCAAAACCGCAGUUCGAGGUUCGAGUCCUCGCGUCCGUGCCA